GGGGAUUUAGCUCAGCGGCAUAAGCACCUGCCUUGCAAGCAGGCGGUCAUUAAGUUCGAUCCCCG
rnacentral:tRNA from 1 species